UACGGAGGAUGCAAGCGUUAUCCGGAAUCAUUGGGCGUAAAGCGCGUGUAGGCGGUCCGGUAAGUCCGCUGUGAAAGUCGGGGGCUCAACCCUCGGAUGCCGGUGGAUACUGUCGGGCUUGAGUACGGAAGAGGCGAGUGGAAUUCCUGGUGUAGCGGUGAAAUGCGCAGAUAUCAGGAGGAACACCAAUGGCGAAGGCAGCUCGCUGGGACGUGACUGACGCUGAGACGCGAAAGCGUGGGGAGCAAACAGG
rnacentral:rRNA from 1 species